CCUACGGUGGGCAGCAGUGGGGGAUAUUGCACAAUGGGGGGAACCCUGAUGCAGCGACGCCGCGUGGGUGAAGGAGUGCUUCGGCAUGUAAAGCCCUAUCGGCAGGGAAGAUGCAAGACGGUACCUGACUAAGAAGCCCCGGCUAACUACGUGCCAGCAGCCGCGGUAAUACGUAGGGGGCGAGCGUUCUCCGGAUUCACGGGGUGUAAAGGGAGCGUAGACGGCCAUGCAAGCCAGGGGUGAAAGCCCGGGCCCCAACCCCGGGACUGCCCUUGGACUGGCAUGGCUGGAGGGCGGGAGGGGCAGGCGGAAUUCCUGGUGUAGCGUUGAAAUGCG
rnacentral:rRNA from 1 species